rnacentral:rRNA from 1 species
AGCAGCCGCGGUAAUUCCAGCUCCAAUAGCGUAUAUUAAAGUUGUUGCAGUUAAAAAGCUCGUAGUUGAAUUUCGGGAUCAGUAGGUUGGUCAUGCCUUUGGUAUGUACUGGCCUCACUGAUUUCUCCCUCUUGAAGAACCGUAAUGUUAUUAAUUUGGUGUUGCGGGGAAUCAGGACUGUUACUUUGAAAAAAUUAGAGUGUUUAAAGCAGGCUCACGCUUGAAUACAUUAGCAUGGAAUAAUGAAAUAGGACGUAUGAUCCUAUUUUGUUGGUUUCUAGGAUUGACGUAAUGAUUAAUAGGGAUAGUUGGGGGCAUUAGUAUUCAAUUGUCAGAGGUGAAAUUCUUGGAUUUAUUGAAGACUAACUACUGCGAAAGCAUUUGCCAAGGAUGUUCUCAUUAAUCAAGAACGAAAGUUAGGGGAUCGAAGACGAUCAGAUACCGUCGUAGUCUUAACCAUAAACUAUGCCGACUAGGGAUCGGAUGAUGUUAAUUUUUUAAUGACUCAUUCGGCGCCUUA